CUGAUCUCUCGAUGUGUUGCUGACUUCACAAAAGAUCAAGAUCGACGGUAGUAUGACCCGAUCCGAUACCUAAGCUAAUACCCCACCCGUCCCCAAUCGGAAUGCUCGCCUCCCCCGUUUCGCAUUCCGAUGGAAGCUGAAGGGUAGAGACGAGUGGAAGAGAGAAAAGACGAGAGCGCGGUCGCCCGAACGAUCCGCCGAGUUGCAGACUUCGUCGGGAAGCCUAUCUUUCUCUUAUUCUCCAUACGGAAAGAAAGGCUGAACCGAAGCCACUCUGCCUGCAGAUUCCAUACGGAUCGGCCGAUGCCGGCCGCAAUUCCAAAACGCCGGGGUCUUGGAUCGUCCAAUAACAUUGCUCCGACUGUCGAUGGCAGGCGAGGGGGCGGGGAUCGGUGGGCGUUUCGGUCCGAUCCUCGCUUUCGAUGAUGCCCAAUGUCACACACAAUGCUGUUUCCAAUUCUUCCGAUGCCUCGCCCGAUUACAGUGAAGACCACUCAGUACAGCGGGGAAUUUCCACAGAGAGAUGAUCAACCUGAUUGCCAGUUCUUCCUGAAAGCACGAACAUGUAAAGUGGAGCAAC